rnacentral:rRNA from 1 species
GUAAAGGCAAAAGAGAGCUUGAUUGCAAGACAUACAGGUCGAGCAAGGAUGAAAAUCGGACUUAGUGAUCCGGUGGUUCUGCGUGGAAGGGCCAUCGCUCAACGGAUAACAGCUACCCUGGGGAUAACAGGCUUAUCUCCCCCAAGAGUCCACAUCGACGGGGAGGUUUGGCACCUCGAUGUCGGCUCAUCACAUCCUGGGGCUGUAGUAGGUCCCAGGGUUGUGCUGUUCGCCCAUUAA